rnacentral:rRNA from 1 species
UACGAAGGGGGCAAGCGUUGUUCGGAUUUACUGGGCGUAAAGCGUACGUAGGCGGCUCAUUAAGUCAGGGGUGAAAUCCCGGGGCUCAACCUCGGAACUGCCUUUGAUACUGGUGAUCUUGAUUCCGGGAGAGGUGAGUGGAACUCCUAGUGUAGAGGUGAAAUUCGUAGAUAUUAGGAAGAACACCAGUGGCGAAGGCGGCUCACUGGCACGGAACUGACGCUGAGGUACGAAAGCGUGGGGAGCAAACAGG